CGCCCAGACUCCUACGGGAGGCAGCAGUGGGGGAUAUUGCACAAUGGGGGAAACCCUGAUGCAGCGACGCCGCGUGGGCGAAGAAGUAUUUCGGUAUGUAAAGCCCUAUCAGCAGGGAAGAAGAAAUGACGGUACCUGAGUAAGAAGCACCGGCUAAAUACGUGCCAGCAGCCGCGGUAAUACGUAUGGUGCAAGCGUUAUCCGGAUUUACUGGGUGUAAAGGGAGCGUAGACGGCGACGCAAGUCUGGAGUGAAAGCCCGGGGCCCAACCCCGGGACUGCUCUGGAAACUGCGGCGCUGGAGUACGGGAGGGGCAGGCGGAAUUCCUGGUGUAGCGGUGAAAUGCGUAGAUAUCAGGAGGAACACCGGUGGCGAAGGCGGCCUGCUGGACUGCGACUGACGUUGAGGCCCGAAAGCGUGGGGAGCAAACAGGAUUAGAUACCCGAGUAGC
rnacentral:rRNA from 1 species